AAAAAUACUAUGAUUUCAAUUUCAAAUUUUAAUCAACAAAAUUUCUGUGGACCUUUUCCUUUCUUGAAUAAAAUAGGAAAAUAAAUAUAUAUACAUAUAUAUAUCAAAGAAACUCAAAUACUAUUUCCUUUCUUGUCACCCAUGGUUUUCACCUAAGCUAUAAAACCAUGUAUUGAGUUUCUUUUUAGAAAAGCAUUUCUUUGUCCACUUGAGAAUUUACAUGGUGGUUUUCAAAUACCAUUCUUUUCACACCUAACCUAUAUACCAAACAAAAACAUCUUGUUAUUUGCUUCAUAUUCUUGUAUCAGUGUUCAUAUGACAAAUUAAAGAUCACAAUGCCAACGAGUGAAAUGAGGAGAGAAAAUAUAGCAUGAAAAGUAUGGUGAAGGAAUGGUUCAAUUCUUCGAAAUCCUUUUUAAGCAUGGUUUUGGUGCAAAUGUUUUCAACUGGGAUGCAAGUUUUAUCAAGGGUCAUUUUGGUUCGAGGUUGCUGGAAAUGAUUUUGAUUAUAAUUGGAUUGUACUCCUUUUUGUGGGGUAAAACAAAUGACGGGUCUAGAGAGCAAUGGCUAGUGCAACUACAUUAUGUUUAAUAUCACCGGCAAUAUCAAUUAAGGGUCCUACUUACCCUUCCACGUUUAUUCCACUAGCUUUUGUUUUUGAUGCUAUAUCAGAAACUAUCUUAUUUGGCGAACUACUAACACUUUGAAUGUAUGUAUAUUUUUUGUUCUUCUCAUUAUAAUUUUAAGAAUUUUUAGUUUUCCUAUUAAUUGUUACAUUAUAUUUUGGUAUUGUACUGUCUCACUCUCCAUA